GUGAUAGACCAAUGUGAAUGGAGUCCAGAUGCUCCUUACCACUCUAUACAAAUUGAGUAAGUGCCCUUUGUUUGAAAUAUACUCAACCCUAAUGACAAAAUGGGCUGCUGACAGCAUGUGAUAAACCAAGUCUGCAUUGCAGAACUCCAGCGACUCUGGCCUCUUUCUGGAGUGAACGGACGGUCCAACCUUUCUACCUUGCGACUGUGUUGGGAGCAGGUGUUUAAAUCACUUCCUCACAGCGCUUGUGUAAGGGAAGCCAGACAGGACAGCAUCUUACAGUCUCGUGUUUGUCCUAGUUUCUACUGGACGUCUGCUACGCAAGCGCACCUUUCCCCAUCCUUCAAUAAAACCUUGAUCUUCAAUGUGUGUAACUGGGUGUAGCACACUGUUUAGGGUGCUGCAAGUGGCCCUGAAUGCUAAUGGAAG